ensembl:snRNA U7 U7 small nuclear RNA
CAGUGCUACAUCUCCUCUAGAAUUUGUCUAGCAGGUUUUCUGGUCUGCACAAGGAAGCCCCA